rfam:Punctularia strigosozonata HHB-11173 SS5 unplaced genomic scaffold PTNSTscaffold_14, whole genome shotgun sequence.
GCCCGUGUAACUCAAUUGGCUAGAGUGUCAGACUUUUAAGGCCUACCUGGUCAGCAAUCAUCUGAAAGUUGCGGGUUCGAGCCCCGCCAUGGGCU